AUAUGUAUUUGGUGGUUAUCAUGCAUCUUUAAACUUUGAUUGAGGAAUAUUGUAUUUGUUUUUGCUUUUGAUAUACUAAAAUGUUCCUAUUUUGAUCAAUGAAGUUUGAAGUUUAUUAUUUAUUGCAUCUUUUCCCAUAUAUAUAUUUUUGAUGAUAACAAAAAGGGGGAGAAGAAAAGAAAGAGUAUUAAGAAAAGAAAGAGUAUUCAAUUUAAGUAAAGAAAGAGUAUUUUAUUUGAGAAGUAAAGAUAUAUAACAAAAAGGGGAGAAAUAAAGAUAAAAGUUAUGUAAAGAAAAGAGAAAUAAAUGGGCAAACAAAUUGAAAAUCAUAUAAGAAAGCUUAUACAUCUAAGGGGGAGCAAUUUGUAACAAUGAAAUUGACUAAAUCAAAAAUUUCCAUCAAAUUUCAGAAUUUGGCACAUAUAAAUUCAGAAUUUGGCACGCACCUCUCGCACCCCGAUACAUAACCUGAAACU
rnacentral:lncRNA from 1 species